rnacentral:misc_RNA from 1 species
UUUCCGUAGGUGAACCUGCGGAAGGAUCAUUAUUGUAUAACCAACGUGCAAAGGCUUUCGAUGACCCGACUGGUUGUGCCCGCCCAAGUGCCCUCACCCACAACCAUCUCACCCCUCUGUGCACCACCGCGAGGGUCUCCCUUUGGAUUGAUCGGCGGGGGGCUUCCGUUUUCACACCAACUUUUUAUGCAGUGUAGAAUGUAUUUUUUGUUUUUGCGAACAACCAAUCAAUACAACUUUCAACAACGGAUAUCUUGGCUCUCGCAUCGACGAAGAACG